CUUGACUAGCUGAGAGAGGUGCAUGGCCGUCGUCAGUUCGUACUGUGAAGCAUCCUGUUAAGUCAGGCAACGAGCGAGACCCACGCCAACAGUUGCCAGCUCGUCCUCCGGGGAUGGUGGGGACACUGUUGGGACCGCCUCUGCUAAAGAGGAGGAAGGAAUGGGCAACGGUAGGUCAGCAUGCCCCGAAUUAUCUGGGCUACACGCGGGCUACAAUGGGUGGGACAAUGGGUAUCGACACCGAAAGGUGAAGGCAAUCUCCUAAACCCAUCCGUAGUUCGGAUUGUGGGCUGCAACUCGCCCACAUGAAGCUGGAAUCUGUAGUAAUCGUGUCUCAAAAUGGCACGGUGAAUAUGUCCCUGCUCCUU
rnacentral:rRNA from 1 species